rnacentral:rRNA from 1 species
GGUGAAGGCCAAGCAAACCCGGAGAUAGCUGGUUCUCCGCGAAAGCUAUUUAGGUAGCGCGUCGGGUGAUUGCCCUCGGGGGUAGAGCACUGGAUGGGCUAGGGGGCCGCGAGGCUUACCAAACCUAACCAAACUCCGAAUACCGAGGUGUCUCAGCCCGGCAGACAGACGGCGGGUGCUAAGGUCCGUCGUCGAGAGGGAAACAGCCCAGACCGCCAGCUAAGGUCCCGAAGUCGUGGCUAAGUGGGAAAGGAUGUAGGACGGCCAAAACAACCAGGAGGUUGGCUUAGAAGCAGCCAUCCUUUAAAGAAAGCGUAACAGCUCACUGGUCUAACAGCUGUCCCGCGCCGAAGAUGUAACGGGGCUCAAGCCACGCACCGAAGCUGCGGGUGUCGACGCUUGUCGACGCGGUAGCGGAGCGUUCCGUAGGCCGGCGAAGCGGAGCCGUGAGGGUCCGUCGAGGUAUCGGAAGUGCGAAUGCUGACACGAGUAGCGAAAACAGAGUGAGAGACUCUGUCGCCGAAAGUCCAAGGGUUCCUGCGCAAGGCUAAUCCGCGCAGGGUGAGCCGGCCCCUAAGGCGAGGGCGAAAGCCGUAGCCGAUGGGAACCAGGUCAACAGUCCUGGGCCCGCUGGUGGUGACGGCGGCCGAGCGUCGUAUCCCCUGAUCGGAUUGGGGGUGCGGCCGAGGUCGUCCAGGAAACAGCCCCAGCAUUGGACCGUACCCGAAACCGACACAGGUGGACUGGUUGAGCAUACCCAGGCGCUUGAGAGAACGGUGUUGAAGGAACUCGGCAAAAUGCCCCCGUAACUUCGGGAGAAGGGGGACCCGUCCGCGGGCAACCGCGGGCGGGUGGCACAGACCAGGGGAUGGCGACUGUUUACUAAAAACACAGGGCUCUGCGAAGUCGCAAGACGACGUAUAGGGUCUGACGCCUGCCCGGUGCCGGAAGGUUAAGAGGAGAGGUUCGCGCCUCGAAUCGAAGCCCCGGUAAACGGCGGCCGUAACUAUAACGGUCCUAAGGUAGCGAAAUUCCUUGUCGGGUAAGUUCCGACCUGCACGAAUGGCGUAACGACUGUCCCACUGUCUCCAACACCGGCUCAGCGAAACUGAAUUCUCCGUGAAGAUGCGGAGUACCCGCGGUCAGACGGAAAGACCCCGUGCACCUUUACUACAGCUUUGCAGUGGCACUAGACGUCGGAUGUGUAGGAUAGGUGGGAGCCGUGGAAGGCCGGGCGCCAGCCCGACCGGAGGCGUCCUUGAAAUACCACCCUUGCGUCGUUUGGUGUCUAACCGCGGGCCGUGAUCCGGCUCCGGGACCCUGCAUGGCGGGUAGUUUGACUGGGGCGGUCGCCUCCCAAAGCGUAACGGAGGCGCGCGAAGGUGGGCUCAGGCCGGUCGGAAACCGGCCGUAGCGUGCAAGAGCAAAAGCCUGCCUGACUGC